rnacentral:rRNA from 1 species
CAAAUUAUACAACGAAGAGUUUGAUCCUGGCUCAGGAUGAACGCUAGCGAUAGGCCUAACACAUGCAAGUCGAGGGGCAGCGCGUUGUAGCAAUACGAUGGCGGCGACCGGCGCACGGGUGAGUAACACGUAUGCAACCUACCUUUAACAAGGGGAUAACCCGUUGAAAGACGGACUAAUACCCUAUAAAACAGGGAUUCCGCAUGGGAAUAUUUGUUAAAGAUUAAUCGGUUAGAGAUGGGCAUGCGUUCCAUUAGCCAGUUGGUGAGGUAACGGCUCACCAAAGCAACGAUGGAUAGGGGAACUGAGAGGUUUAUCCCCCACACUGGAACUGAGACACGGUCCAGACUCCUACGGGAGGCAGCAGUGAGGAAUAUUGGUCAAUGGACGGAAGUCUGAACCAGCCAAGUCGCGUGAAGGAUGACGGCCCUAUGGGUUGUAAACUUCUUUUGUAAGGGAAUAAAAAAGGAUACGCGUAUCCUAUUGUCUGUACCUUACGAAUAAGGAUCGG